AGGAGCCAGCACUAAAUGAAAGCAUCAUGCUCCAUGAAGUCUUUUGUCUCAUCUGGAUGUUUGCACUGUACCCAGGAAGCCUGGCCUCUUACGUGGAGCAGUCUCCAUCGAUUGUGUCGAUUGCAGGAGGGGACUCGGACACAAUAAACUGCAUGCUGAAGAAAUCAGCUUACAGCUAUAUGUACUGGUACCGACAGCAACCCAACCGGCCAAUAGAAGCUUUAUUCUAUUCUGCUGGUGAAAAUUCAGUUAGAAAUUACACAUCUGAAUCUUAUCAUGCUAAAAGGCCCAGUGAAACUCUGUUUACUUUGGAACUGAAAGGCGUCUCUCCAUCUCACACGGCUGUCUAUUUCUGUGCAUGUAGUAGUGCACAGUGUUCGAGAUAUUAUCUUUGCAACUACAAAAACCUGUAUUCGAGAACAGGGAUGUUCAGGUCUCUUUUUCCCACCAACAGGUGGGGACAGACGAUUGAUGUUCAGAGCACAUUUUCUGUGACAAGAGAGAAGACUUCGCUCUCUGUUAGCGAGUGA